CUGGCAACGGAUCUGGGAGGUUCCAGCCUUGCUGCGCCGCCACACGACCAGAUCGAGCAGCAGACAACUACCAUCUAUGCUCCCCUGGUCGAGGACAACUCCUCCACCCACCCAUCUUCCUCCUUGCUGCACGGCCACCACACCACGAGCAAUGGCCAACCACGUCGAAUCCGGUCACUGACUUGGAAUUUGGGCGGCUGUCGAACCCCCUCCAUCUUUCCUUUGUUGAUUUCUCCUUCACCGACAAGCCUCGCCCCCGUGGCCGGAACUGCCCAUUUCCGAGGUGUGGAUGGUAGCCGGGGAGCACAGUCGGUAGCGACCAACGCACAUCCUUCCCCCUUAGUCCCCCUCCCUCUACUACCUUCCCUAGUGGAGAGCUCACUCUUUGGCACUUCCUCCAGUUCUGCUCGCAACGGCCAACACUCACUAGAAGAUAAUCUCACUUCGGGGAUUCUUCACCCGCCGGUGUGUAGUUCUCGUGGUGCUGGCAUCCACUGUGUGCGGGGCUGGCAUGUAGUUCUAGCGAAUCUGGCAUGCAAUGCAGUGCACCGCGGACCCCUAGUUAGGCAUUGUGUUGUUCGGCAAGCGUUGGCGUGCAGCUCAUCCCCCGCGCGGCAUGGAGUUCCAUUCUGCCUCCAGGGAAGUGCGCCUCCACCCAUGCGUCUCAUCAUCUUCACUCGGGUGUUCAUCGGAAUGCGUGACGAUGCACUCCCGCUGCUGUUGACUUGCGGUUCAUAGGCGGGUGGUGCAGAUAGUUUCCUUGUGCAGUUCUUACGCUUAUUUCUAUUUGUUUCAAAGUGAAAAAUGUAGCCCUAUUCUUUUGCUCUUGAUGUUCAUUUUACUUCUUUUGUAGGAAAAUAUGAAGUCAUGAAGUUCGACUGGAUGCCCUAUUACUCAAUUUUCUUGUUGUUAGAAACUAGACUUCAUUAGUUCAUUGUAAAAAAUGCAAUUCAUUACCACGAUGGUGUAGUUAUAUUUUAGUUAGUAUAGAUAUUUUAUGUGUGUGUGGUUGUGGAAAACAAUCAAAUAGAUAUGUAUGCUUUGAAGCUCA